GUGCCUUAAACUAAUGAGUAAGGAAAAUUACAAGCCUUGAUGAUUCUCGGCUUAAUUAAUGAAGUCGUUAAACCGGGUGGGAUGUUGUUCAUACCACUUAUGAAAUGGCUUAAGAAUUUUUAGAGGGGUACAGGUCGUCCUUAGGCGUAACUCACUACUUUUGAGUUGUGUUUGAGCGUUUAGCGAUCUGCCCA